UAGGGAAUCUUCCGCAAUGGGCGAAAGCCUGACGGAGCAACGCCGCGUGAGUGAUGUAGGUCUUCGGAUCGUAAAACUCUGUUAUCAGGGAAGAACAAACGUGUAAGUAACUGUGCACGUCUUGACGGUACCUGAUCAGAAAGCCACGGCUAACUACGUGCCAGCAGCCGCGGUAAUACGUAGGUGGCAAGCGUUAUCCGGAAUUAUUGGGCGUAAAGCGCGCGUAGGCGGUUUUUUAAGUCUGAUGUGAAAGCCCACGGCUCAACCGUGGAGGGUCAUUGGAAACUGGAAAACUUGAGUGCAGAAGAGGAAAGUGGAAUUCCAUGUGUAGCGGUGAAAUGCGCAGAGAUAUGGAGGAACACCAGUGGCGAAGGCGACUUUCUGGUCUGUAACUGACGCUGAUGUGCGAAAGCGUGGGGAUCAAACAGG
rnacentral:rRNA from 1 species